GGCUUCCUGUUAACUGACUAUCUUUAUUUUUAACUCAAGCAACGUUGGAGCCAUCCCUGCAGUGAAUACACUCAUCAAGAUUCUAUAUCAUUCCUUCCUUGAUGCCUAUCAUUAUUAGAGACAUUUCUCUUCAUUUAUUUAUGAUGCCUAAUACGUCUUUCUGUCCACUUUGUAUUUGUUUUGUUUCUUCUGAAGAUUAAGAUAUGCUUUAAUAUUGGCUUGAUUUGUUUAUCGAAUUUUGAAGAUUUCCUUUGGAAAUAGUGUUA
rnacentral:lncRNA from 1 species